GACGAACGCUGGCGGCGUGCUUAACACAUGCAAGUCGAACGGAAAGGCCCAGCUUGCUGGGUGCUCGAGUGGCGAACGGGUGAGUAACACGUGGGUGAUCUGCCCCUAACUUCGGGAUAAGCUUGGGAAACUGGGUCUAAUACCGGAUAGGACAAUCGUUUAGUGUCGGUUGUGGAAAGUUUUUUCGGUUAGGGAUGAGCCCGCGGCCUAUCAGCUUGUUGGUGGGUAAUGGCCUACCAAGGCGUCGACGGGUAGCCGGCCUGAGAGGGUGGACGGCCACAUUGGGACUGAGAUACGGCCCAGACUCCUACGGGAGGCAGCAGUGGGGAAUAUUGCACAAUGGGCGCAAGCCUGAUGCAGCGACGCCGCGUGGGGGAUGACGGCCUUCGGGUUGUAAACCUCUUUCGACAGGGACGAAGCUUUGGUGACGGUACCUGUAUAAGAAGCACCGGCUAACUACGUG
rnacentral:rRNA from 1 species